CGACGAGUUUGAUCAUGGCUCAGAACGAACGCUGGCGGCAGGCCUAACACAUGCAAGUCGAGCGAACCCUUCGGGGUUAGCGGCGGACGGGUUAGUAACGCGUGGGAAUAUACCCUUUGGUACGGAAUAGCCUCGGGAAACUGAGAGUAAUACCGUAUGUGCCCUUCGGGGGAAAGAUUUAUCGCCAAAGGAUUAGCCCGCGUUGGAUUAGAUAGUUGGUGGGGUAAUGGCCUACCAAGUCUACGAUCCAUAGCUGGUUUGAGAGGAUGAUCAGCAACACUGGGACUGAGACACGGCCCAGACUCCUACGGGAGACAGCAGUGGGGAAUCUUAGACAAUGGGCGCAAGCCUGAUCUAGCCAUGCCGCGUGGACGAUGAAGGCCUUAGGGUUGUAAAGUCCUUUCAGAUGGGAAGAUAAUGACGGUACCAUCAGAAGAAGCCCCCGGCUAACUCCGUG
rnacentral:rRNA from 1 species